UGAGGGUUGAUAGGUUAAGAGCUGAUUAACUGGACGCUACCCACAGAAGAAGCACCGGCUAACUCCGUGCCAGCAGCCGCGGUAAUACGGAGGGUGCGAGCGUUAAUCGGAAUUACUGGGCGUAAAGGGUGCGUAGGUGGUUUAGUAAGUUAUCUGUGAAAUUCCUGGGCUCAACCUAGGGUGGUCAGAUAAGACUGCUGACUUUGAGUAUAGAGAGGGUAGUGAAUUUCCGGUGUAGCGGUGAAAUGCGUAGAGAUCGAAGAACACCAGUGGCGAAGGCGGCUACCUGGCCUAAUACUGACACUGAGGCACGAAAGCGUGGGGAGCAAACAGGAUUAGAUACCCUGGUAGUCCACGCUGUAAACGAUGUCAACUAGCUGUUGGCCUUAUGAAUGAGGUUAGUGGCGCAGCAAACGCGAUAAGUUGAC
rnacentral:rRNA from 1 species